rnacentral:lncRNA from 1 species
CCCAUCUGUCCACACUCACCCCAUCCUCACCCCCAUCUGUCCACACUCACCCCAUCCUCACCCCCACCACAUCCCCAUCCGUCCCCACUCACCCCAUCCUCCCAUCCUCUUCCCCACCCCAUCCAUGUCACAGUUCAUGGGAAGCCUGGUGCACAUGUGUAGAACCAGAGCCACCCUAUCCCUGUCCCUCCCUUCCCUCCCCACUGGCUGAGCGGGAGGGGAUGGCCUGGGAUUGGCUUCCUACCGUUGCCAUGACUGUUGCUAGGAUCAGGGCUGUCUCCAGCCCCUGCAGGAAACAUGUAAUGAAUUAUGGAUGUCCGAUUUUCUCUGAGAGGCCUGAUCUGUAAUGCAGAUGAGCACCAAGUCCCCCUUUUCUUCUGGUUUCUUAAGAAAAAAAAAUCAGUUUUAAAUCCGAAGCUGGCAUUUGUGUAGUCCUGGCUGCCCCUUGCAGUGACCGCUGCCCGGUGUUGAUUCUUAUGCAAAGAGAGGGCCGGGGUCAGGGUCUGUUGUUUGUUCUGGAAAAGCUUGUAGGAUUUUCACCAGACCUUGUGACCUUUGGGGACAUUUUUUUUGUGUGUGAUCAGAGACAGAAUGGGAUAUAAACACUAGAAGUGACAUUUUCUAAACGUGAGGCACUUCUCUGGGCUGGCAGUGCCAGGAGCGUGGAGGGCUCAGAUCUCUGCUGGCAAAGGUGUGAGUGCUCUCCCUUCUCCCUCUCCCUCCCACUCCAGCCUCCACCCCAGAGCAGAGAAACGUUUGCCCAAAUGUGACUUAUACCUUCGUUCUGAGAGUAGGCACAGGUGGGCCUCUUCCAUUGGCUGCCCUUGUGGGCUGUGAGCAGAGAGGGCCCUCAUGUUUACUAAGUGCCCUUGUGGGCUUGGGGCCACCCCACCGCCAGAUGGAGGGGACAGAGGUGACAGGCGACAGGGCUGGGCUCCCUGUCCAGCUCCCCAGUGGCAGAGGUCCUCGGACAGUGGGAAUCAGAAGGGCGUCUUUGCUGGGCCACCCUUGGCAGGGAGUGACCUGAGCAGGUGCUUCCUGUGUGAGUGGGGGUGUCUGGGAACUGUGCAAGGUGCGGCCAUGUGGGCAUGCUCAGAGCCUGGUUGGACUGUAAGGUAGGAAGGCAUCCAGUCGUUCCCAUGGGCCAGCACAGAGGAGAAACAGGCAUGUGUGCGCGGGCCUGAAGGCGGCCCCUUCCCGGCAGUCUUACCUAAGCGACUGGUCCCUUAGGCUCCCAGCUUCGUGCCUGUCACCCAGCAUCCCCAUUGCCUCACGGUUCCCCCUCUCACGGGAGAAACGUCGACAGUGCUGGUGGGAACACAGAGAUGCCACCCAGGACCCCCGUGAGAUGCAGACACAAGCGGCUUUAACUUUACAAUGCAAUGAAGCAAAAUAUGCUGGCUUUGAGACCCGGAGGGCACGAAAACAGGGAGCUGGGGUUCUGGAAGGACGCCAGCUCGGCCUGCGAGGGGCUGAAAAAUACCUGCUGUUGCCUCUGUCUCGUUGAGAGUUGCCUCCCACCACCACAGAGGGAACCACGUGAGUCAAAGACAGAAAGAAAGGGACGGAAAAGAACUGUAUUUCAAAGAGGCAAGCCUUUAUAUUAGAAUGACGGCAACGCAGUUUAGGUGAAAAUUACAUUUGUCACCCCCACACUGGAGUGUUUAUUGAACGGCAGCUGGGUCAGCUCAAGGAAUUUCAAAGAGACGCAGGACACGAAGUGAUGGAUGAGUGGAAUCCUCCACUAAAACUCCUUCCAGGACACUGUGUAUCUGUCUACAGUUUCAUUCUCGCUUUCUUUCUUUUUAUUGAGGGCAUGCCUUGGACGUUUUGUUUUUAGUCUCAGGACCAUUUUAAUGAAGAGCCAUGGGUCACUGCUUCUAUUCGGGGUCAUGUACAGACAACAGUCAGUGGAAAUAGCACUUGUCUUUGAAUUGAGCAGAUAGAAAAUAGAGAAGGAAAGUCCUGGAGGAGCGGCUUUCCCGCCAGCGUCUACCUGUAGAGAGUGAGACGAAGAUGGAGACAAUUAACUGGACGAAGCAGGCAAAAUCCCCGAUAAUUGAGGCCGGGUGCCACGGGGUGACUUUCCCUUUCUGGAGUUAUUUAGCCAGUUUCUUUCUCUCUGCUGUGUGUGUCGACACAACCUUGGCCUCCCCCGCUGUAAAAUGGAAAAACCACAGCCGCAGAGCUCACCAGGGAAUUCUGCAGCUCUCGGAAUGAUUGCGCGCCGGGCUGACAAUGCGAAGUGUUAGAUUAACGUGAAAGUGUUCUAUGUUGGAACAUCGAAUACAGACGAGGCAUGUAAGAAAACGAUGUUUUAAGAAAUAUGUUUUAUGCUAUAUCAUUUCUUUUACUGAAAACAAUUGGACAAACAAACAAGAAAAGCCAAGGAAAAUGCGACCGGGACGUGGAAUCGGCCCGUCUGUGAGUGGAAGGAUCACACUCCCAGCUGAGAUAGAAAUAAAGCCACGCGUGCCUCUGUUUCUAUGCGUGGUAAAAUAAACAAGCAACACUUCGAGGAACUAUUGAUUCUGUUAUUAAAACACAGCCUGUUUGGUUUGCCAGAUCGUAGCCAUUAUUAAUGCAUUAUUAAUUCUAUGUAAGUGCCUGCUUGUCAGAUCCAUUAACCGGGGGAGUAAUUGCCGAGGGAGAGAGCUCAGAAGGUGUGUCACGCUGCUCGCUCGGUCUAGGUGGAACGAAGCGGAGGGAAGCCACGCGGAGCAAUGGAGGCAGCCCUGUAAGGCAGUGUCCGUUUCUGUCUGUGGCCAAAAUGGCCAGGGAUGUUUUUGGCCAAGCUGAUGAGACAGAGAUUGGAAGAGGAAAGUUUCAUACUGAUACUUCGGCUGGCUGGCUGCAGAGUAACCUGCAUUUUGGGCCAUUUUUGGUUAAAUGUAUGAAAGCAAACAUCCACAUAAAGGCUGAAAUGGUUUGUCAAUGACCCAGAGGCUGUUCCCGGGAUCUUUUGAGCCCUGGGAACCUGGAGGUACCUGCAGAGCUGAGCAGAUUGCUUCCGCAUCAAGGAAACAAGCGGGACUUGUGAGAAGGGGCGGUUUGUGAGGCCCCUGGCUGCAGGCACUGGAGGUCCUGCCACCCAGCGGCACAAGGCUGCCCUGCCUGCUUUAAGGAGGAGACAGGACUAUUGACUUGGUCCGAUUUGCCUGAACUUCUUGAGUUUCUCACUGCCCGUGGAUUCCAGUUGCUUUAACACGGGAAAUCGGACCUGCUGGAGGAGACCCUGCGCUGUCCUCAAAGACAACACUGUUUCCACUAACGCAAGGAUACAGCGUGAUUGAAACAGUGCCCCACCCAUAGGGUGGCUGGCAGAUUGAACGUGGUGCUCUGUGGAAAAAUGUGGUCUGGCCAUACCCAGUGCUAUGCACGUGUUUACCACCAUUGCCUCCCCUUCUCCCAUCUCAUGUUAUCGGUCUGUAAAGUGGGUGUCAUGAGUGACUUCUGGUAUCUGCUGAGGGGGGUGGUGUCUGGGUGAGGCCCGAGUAGUUGGAGGCUUUGGUUUUUGCAUAAUGGGACCCCUAUUUUCCACUUAACCCGAACCAAAGCGGAAUCAUGGAAGGCCUCAAUGCAGGCAGCCCUGAGGGCGCAAGAAAGUUUGCUUUGUUCAAAGGGCUCCUGGGAGCCGGGCGAUGGGUGACCACGCCAGGAAGCACCUUGACUUGGGUACUUUGCAGAAUCUUCCUCCCAGCGCACCUAGACUUGCCGCUGUGUGGCAGCUUUGACUCCCAGCCCAGUAACAAACACGUCCAUGACGCUGUGGACUGACAGAGACCGCAGAGCUGGUCAACGUGAGGAAUGGGGCCCGCGCCCCGGGGGACCUCCAAGGCUGGGGGCACGGGAGCAAGCGGGUUACUCAGGCCCACACUAACCGCACUUGUAACUUCUCUCCCUGAGUCAAGGCAAGUUUUCAUUCAAGCCAACGUAACACAAUCUUGCCAAUGACUGGAAAAAUAACUAGCUUUGCAAAAAUUUAAAAAGACUCAGAUAAUACUCAAAUUUGGAGCCCUAAUGAAGUGUGUAAACCUCAUGUCCACAGACUGUGUUACUGGAGCCAGAGGGGGAAGAUCCCUGAAUCAGCCCGCCUGGGGCCGCCCACGGCUGCUCCUUGCGUGGGAGGUGGCCCCAUGCGGCCGCUUCUCUGGGGGACAGAACAGAAACUGGGGCGAGUUUGGCCCAGCCGCAACAUCCAAGUCUGUGUUCAUUUAAAACUAACUGCCUUUGAUUGCAUUUGACAAAAACAUUGGUCCAUGAUUGACUGGAAAUAAAAUAAUGAGGGUUUGAGACCCGGGCUCCGACCUCCCUUCUGUUCUGGGCCCGUGUGAGGCCGGGGACGGCCCGGGCAGGUGUCAGCAGCAGGAGUGUUUUCCGGGGUCCCUGUGGAGAACGUCUCUCCGCAGCUUCUCCUGGAACGUUGUCUCCGAGGCUCAGCAGCCUCCUCACACCCCCUGGGUCCACACCUCAGACCCAUCUGCCCGCCCGGCCAGCCUGCCUCGUCGUUCCCCGCGGGCUCGUGCCUCAACAGGCAGCGUGUGGAUGCCACCGUCACCUUCACGGGAGAGGCAGGUCCGCCCUGGAGCUGAUCCCCUGAUGAGGAAAUGAAAACACAGAGAGGAGAAGGCACUCGCCUGAGGUACCCUGCCAGACGCUGGGGACGGGCUCACACGCAGCGGCCCAAAGCCUGCUGCCUCUCGGAGCAGCGGGGGUCUGGGACGGAUAUUGAGGCACAGGGCCUUGGACGUGCCCGUGGAGCUGCUCAGCCAGUGGGGAGUUAGCCAGCGUUUUACAGGCAAAGCUGCGGAGCUGUGCUGGUGCCUGUGUAGAGCGGUUGAAGAAGAAAUGAUCAGGAAUUGGAGUUAACAGCUUUUCUGUGGGGCAGUUCGACAUGAAGAAAAUACCUGUUCAAGGACUUUGAAAUAAAGAUGAAAAAGAGGCCACACGUCCUUACAUACCUGAUAUUUCUUUUUUUCUUUCUUUCUUUCUUUCUUUCU